CCCUUAGAUGUCCGGGGCUGCACGCGCGCUACACUGUAGAAAGCAGCGUGCUUUAAAACCUUUCCUGAAAAGGAUGGGUAACCCCAGCAAAAUUCUACGUGCUUGGGAUAGAGAUUUUCAAUUUUCUCUCUUGAACGAGGAAUUCCCAGUAAGUGCGAGUCAUCAGCUCGCGUUGAUUACGUCCCUGCCCUUUGUACACACCGCCCGUCGCUACUACCGAUUGGGAAAAUUUUAGAGAGUCCUGGACUGAUGAUUGUUCGGCUUCACGGCCUUACUUUCGUCGGGAAAGAAUUCGAUAAUAUUUUUCUAGAGGAAGUAAAAGUCGUAACA
rnacentral:rRNA from 1 species